rnacentral:rRNA from 1 species
AUUGAACGCUGGCGGCAUGCCUUACACAUGCAAGUCGAACGGCAGCGGACCUUCGGGUGCCGGCGAGUGGCGAACGGGUGAGUAAUAUAUCGGAACGUACCUUUCAGUGGGGGAUAACGUAGCGAAAGUUACGCUAAUACCGCAUAUUCUGUGAGCAGGAAAGCAGGGGAUCGCAAGACCUUGCGCUGAUUGAGCGGCCGAUAUCAGAUUAGCUAGUUGGUGAGGUAAAGGCUCACCAAGGCGACGAUCUGUAGCGGGUCUGAGAGGAUGAUCCGCCACACUGGGACUGAGACACGGCCCAGACUCCUACGGGAGGCAGCAGUGGGGAAUUUUGGACAAUGGGCGCAAGCCUGAUCCAGCCAUGCCGCGUGAGUGAAGAAGGCCUCGGUUGUAAG